CUCCAUUCCUACAACAAAAACUCAAUUCAAUACAUGAAUUCGAUGCUCAAAACAUCCGAGGACCUCUAGGGAGAGAGUAGAGAGAGAGGAAAAACCAAAUGAAAUCCUAGAGAGAGAGGUAGUGAUAGAGAGGUAGAAGAGGUGCUGAAAACUUCAGCCCCCCAUCUCUAUCUAUAGGUGCGGACAAAAGACUAAAUUACCCCUAUAGCUACUACUAAAUAACGACCCACGCACAGGCAUUUUGGUCCAAGUUUUUGUGCGCUCAUCGGACGAACACACCUCCUUCACGACUUCACUUCGCCUCAAUGCAGGCUAUGCGAUGAUACCACAUGCCCUCCUUCUCGAAGCUCCGGCCGCACCGGGCUCACCCCCUGUGGUGGAACCGCCCAACUUAAGCUGGUUUAAGUGCGCUUAAUCGCUGUCGGAACAGCAAUUAUCCGAAACGCACCUAAAACAGCAUAAGUCCGGUAGUCCGUUGAGUGUCCCUAGGACUCCUCGAAGGAUCCACGACGUGUCUCAUAGCCAUACAUCAGGAUAAUAUCCGCGAUGGGAUAACAUCAACAAAUAUUACAUUUUUAAAGACAUAACAAAGGUACGAUAUAUUACAACCAUAGUUUGAAACAACUUAAUCAUGCAGAUCAGCGUGGUUCUUAAGAAUUUAAAAAUAAACAUUUAAGUUUUAUUCUAGAGUAUCAUGAGACUCAUAAGAUACCCUAGGUCUUCGGGGCUUCCUCUUCGGUGGGUCCCUGCUAGCUUUCUGAAAACAACAACAAGGGAUCCCCUGAGUACGAAGUACUAAGCAAGUCUUACCCGACUAACCAAUAUAAUAGUUUUCUUUGGAAUGUAUGUCAGCCUUUGGGUGUGCUUGGUUGACACAAUUUUUGCCGAAAAGCUUACUACGAGUGAGGCCUUAGUUUUAUCUUUUAUUUUAGUUAAGUCAUUACCUAACCAUUCUAGAUGAUAAUAGAAGUAAAAGCAACCACAGCUGUUAAGUCAUACAUUACUUGACAACAGGAGAUUUUAUAUUGCAUGAGUUGAUACUACGAUGCUCAACAGUGAUCAAGUGCAUUCAUAACCGAGAAUUGCGGCGAUCCGGAUCUAAUUACAUCCUGCAGGAGAGUACCCCGAUCACCAGCAUUAUACGACUGUUCCGGUCGUAUCUCACAACCUCUCGAUUAGCAAAGUCAAUGAUUAGGAAUACAACUACCCGGACCCAGGGAUGCACCCCCACAUGGGACCCCACGUCUGGCCUGAUCUCCAUGUGAGUUUCAGGCUACACCCCUGCCAAUCUCCAGCACGUCAAAUGCGGGUACGAAGCAUUCCUGAUCAUAGAAUUUACUAAUCUACUGGGCUUUACUGGUCCCAUACCCAGUAAGUGAUCAGAUGUUAUCACUUGAUCAGCGGUUAAGACACGAAUCGGGCCUUAACCAGAUUAAUCUAGCAGUAUUCAUAUUCCAGACUAUCCUUCAUAAGCAACAUGUAUGACUUAAGAGUUUUCCUUAAGGUUGGUAAACCAAUCACGUAAGCAAGUAAGCAAUUCUAGACUUGGGUAGUUUCUAGGAUUUGAACAAGUGGCAAAGAUAUCCUUAAAUCAAGGCAUGAUCAUACACAAGAAUAGGUUUCAUCCAACUCCUAGACUUAGUGCAUACAAUAAACAAAUAACCUAUAACUAGUCACAUGAAAUGACGACUCUAAAAAUAGAUAGGUAUAAAUGCACCGGGGCUUGCCUGGGAUCAACAAGGUUAGUUCUUCGGAAAACUUGUUUACUGAAAGAGGCACUCCACACUUCGCGAAUGCUGUCCAUCUCCGGCUGAAUUCCAUGAAUUUCCCACUUCAGGAGUUGUGACGUCUACGAUCCAGUAUAUGCAAGAGUUAGAGAUGCAAAUUUUUGAAUACAAGACUAUACAACUUUCCUUCAUGAUAAAGUUGCAAGCCAACAAGGACUAUACAAUUUAUCAUGAUAAAGUUGCAAGCCAACACACAAAAGCCCUAAAGAUUAGCCCACCAUUUUUAUUUCUUUUACUAAACCUACCUUAGACCUCUUCUUUUAUUUUUUAAAAGCAUUAUACUAAUUUUCUAAUCUCAAAAACCUAAUUCCUAUGAAUUAAUAAUAAUUUGUGGAUAAUAAAGCAUUUUCAAGUUUUAUAUAUUUAAUAAAGUUUAAGCAUUUAUUUAAAUACCUUACACAAAAAGGCAUUAAAUAAAUACCUAAAUUUUUAUUAUUUUUCCUAGGGUUUAAGAAUUUUAAUGCAUAAAGGAAAAUAAAACAAUCCUAAUAAAAUUGGUUUCACUAAUUUUGGACACUUUUAGAAUUUCCUGGGAAUUAAAUGGUGAAAGCAGCAUUUAAUCUAUUUAUCUAACAAAGAAAACCUAAGGUUUAAUUAAAACCUCCGGCCCAAACUUUUCUCACCCAACUUGCUUCUACCCACUAUCACUUCCACCUAGGGCCCAUCUGGUUUCCUAUUCUCCUUCUUCUUUUCUUCCUUGACAAGUGGGGCCCACGGCCGAAACCUUCCCUUGGGCCGAAAAGUGGCCCGCCAACUUUUAACCCGUGACGCGUGGGCCUCUAUUCGGCAGCCUCCUCUUUGGGCCGGCUCCCCCUUUUCCUCUCUUUCUCAAUCCCGGCCGGCCCAUCUCUUCUUUUUCUUUUUCUAUCUCCGACAAUCGGCCUGCUUAAUCCGGCCCACGGCCUUUCUUUCCUCCGCCGGCCCCCUUCUUCUUUUCCACUUCACCUGGGCCGCACGGCCCACUUUCCUUUCAGGCCAAAAGUUAACCCACCGGCUCUCCCUUCUUCCUUUACCCGCACGGGCUAACUGGGCUGUCGCCUCCCCUUGGCCCAAGACGGCGCUGGCCCUCUUUUCUUUUUCUCCUACUCCCACCUGGGCCUCCUCCACCGGGACUUGGCCUCCCGGCCCAAGUUCACCGACGGCCUGCUUCCCUUCUCUUAUUACGUUGCGCAGCUAGCUGGGCCGGUACCCUUCCUUUGGCCCAAGACGGAUGGCCGGCUCUUAUCUCCCUUGCGCCCCCCCCCCUCUUUUCCUUGUGGCUGGCAUGUGGGCCUCCUUGGUCAGGGGCAUCUUCCUCCCCUGGCCAAGAACAGAGGCGCGCCGGACUGGUGGGGGCUCGCCGGCCGGCGGCUCGCCGGCGACGGGGUCGGGCCGGGGAGGGACCCCCAGGCCGCGACACACCCGUGGGCGGCGGCGGCGCUCCGGGAGGUGGCCGGAGAUGGCCCCUCCACGGCGGCGACGGCUCAGCCGGCCGUUGGCCAUGGCGGCGUAUGUUGGCGGCGCAAAACAGCUUCCACAACUCCCCCUACGGCUUCCACACUCUUGCAGGACGCCCCUAGGCCCGUUAAUUGAGAAGAAACAGCCCGGUUUAGCAACUUACCUCGCGGAUUGGGUGACGGCGGCCGGCGGACCGGUAUGGCGGCGACUCGGAGCUCAACAGCGAGAAGCUGGGCAACGGAGCAGCGUGGGGCGUUGAGGAGGAGCUUGCGGAACCUCGGGUGGGUGGAAUCGCAAGGAGAAGCGGCGGCGUGGGUGAAUCGGUCGGCGGCGACACUGAUUUGCUUGAACUCGGUUCUCACGGCAGAAGAGCAAAACGGCAGAGAUUAACUGGAUGAGGGCGAGGAGGUACCAAUACGAACUUUCACCGUGCAUGCGUGCCACCUCGACAACCUGAACGAGCGCGGACGUGGCCGUGUGCUGGCCGGUGCUUCGGAAUGCCGGCGGCGGCACGACUCUUCUGUCGCCUCUGUUAUGCUGUUCUGCUUUCUUUUCUCUUCUCAAUCUACAUGUUCAGGCCGCAAAAUUGGCAAAUCCGAACCCAAUCUCUCGAACAUUCCUUAAGCAAUCUUGUAGAUUAAUCCGAGCACUUCAAUUGAUAGAUGGGCCUCUACCCGAGAUGAGCACCCUAACAUCUAGAUUUUUGGAGCUCCAAGUUCGGCCAGGGCCUUCUGUAACUGAACCCUGUCGAUUCAGUUUCGACAGUCUUCAAAAUGUGGUCAUUUACCCUUCUUUAGCACCAAUUUCAGUAGCUCAAUUGUAUUCCAUAUAGGCCAACCACUCCCUAUUUGUGUUCUAAAACUAAUAAGGAUUCCAUUUUGCACCAGAAACCAUAUAGCCUUUGCACUGGAUUUUCCUGAAAAUUGCUCCAAACAUUGCUAGUUAACACUGUCUCAGACUUAGAAUUUACGCAGCUCGAGAGUUGGCCGAAAUAGCUAGAGUGCUGACUUUGAGUUCUGAUUUAAAUUUGAUUCUUUCGCUAUCUCUGAGCAACAACACUUUAUUAAACAUGUCCAAGGAUCAUACUUCACCGCUGUCUAGUUGCCUUUGCUCACUUACUUGAAAAAUUGGGCAGAAUUCGGUUUCAAACAUAGAUACUCGUCAUGUUUUCCAGACCUAGACUUAAUUCGGCAAGGAGCUCGAAAUCUGCUCAAUUGCUGACUUUUGGCUCCAAUUUGAAUUCAAACCUUCCACUUUCUCUGGACAACAACUAUUCAUUUACUUUCUCCAUAGUCCAUAUUACACUAAUGUCCAAAAACAUCUGCUCACUUUUAAGGAAAUUUCUCCAGAAAUUGGUCCUAAAGUCAGGUACUCAAUACCAUUUUCAGACUUAACCAAAAAUUCAGCAAAGCUGCCGAUUGUGACAAAGCGCCAACUUUAGGCCUCCAUUUGAAAUGGUUCCCUCUGCUAUUCCUGAUCAACACCACCCAAAUUUUGGAGUCCCAAGUUCAUACUUCAACAUGGUAUAGUUGUCCUGAUUUACUUAUUUGAGAAAUUCAUCAGAAUUCAAUUCCCAAAAUGGACUCUGGACUGUUUUUCUGAUUUCUUGUUUUCGGACGGUGAAUAGUAAACGUAGCUUUUCAUUUCCUUCUCCGAUUUCUUUUGAGCGUUUAGGAUCAAAUAUUACUCCAAAUUUUUGACCCUUAAGUUCUAAUCAUCUUUACACUCCCACUCUAUAUUUUCGCCGAAUUUUUCUGAAUUUCAAAUUCAAAAUUCAAAUUUCGGCCAAAUUUGACCCGAAUUUGAUUUUCGGUCAAUUCCUUUUUCUUUUCUUCUCGAAUCGCUUUCAAUUCUUCAAAGUCACUUUGAUGACUAAAAAUGGCGGGUGUUACAGCCUCCCCCCCUUAACAGAAUCUCGUCCCGAGAUUCCCGGGGUUAAAUCCUCGGUUUUGAGAAUGGAAAGGAAACUGUCUCAGACAUCAUAUUUUCUCUUGUCUGUAUAAGGAAAGGGAGGUGGUGGCUUUGGUUCAUCUGACACUAACAGUUUCAAAUAACUUAAAAUAUUUAGACUCUAGGUCUUCAGUCUGUUCCAAGUAGCUUUAUCUGGAGCACGAUUCUCUCAGGGCACCUUGUAAAAUCUGAUACUCUUAGUUCGAGUAUGGAGGGUCUUUCGAUCCAGAAUUUUUAUACGGACAAAUAUAUAUCGGAGAAAAUUUUUCCUUUGACUCCAACCCGGUGUAUUCCUUUCAUCGGAGAUACUCCGAAAUGUACAAAGUCCCAAAAUAAAAUUCCAAAGAUCCUCUUUUUGUAUCCGAAUAACCUCUCUGUCAGGACUAAGCUAUUUCAAGGUUCGUACAAUUCUUCUGAACUUUUUCCUCAACUUUAAUUGACUAGAUCUGGUUCUAAAGGUACUCUUUCUCUUGAUUCUGACCAAAUUAAAAGCAACCAUUCUUCCCAUUUUUUGCUAGAAGUAAACAUUCAUCCCACUUCUUCGAGAAGGUGAGAAUACAGGUUCGAAGCAUAUCUUUUUCUGUCUAACCAGACAUCCUUUGUUCUUAAUAAGGGUAGUUCCCAUUGUCCCAUACAUUUGUUCCCAGAAUUCAGAGAUGAAAUUGAGAACCUCAAUUUAAGACAAUUGUCUUGGGUAUUCCAUGCGACGAUACUACCAUAAAAUCCAUGGAAAUGUCUUCCUACUUCCAUUUAGGAAUGGUGAAGGUUGCAAUAUGUCGACCGAUUUCUGAUAUAUAGUUUUCACUUUUGACACGUAUCACAUUCAGAUACAUUCUUGGCUAUUUCCCUUUUCAUUCUUAUCCACCAAAAUCAUUGCUUCAUGUAUUAAUACAUCUUAAUACUCCCCGGGUGCAUAAAGAAUCUUGAUAACAAGCUUCAUCUAAGAUGAUUUUCUCAAGCCCAUCUUCUUGAGUAUUAUUAUUCAAUUUUUGAUAUAGAACACCUUCUUUUCAUCCUGGUAAAACAAGUAACAUUACUUUUAGCUUACUCAUUUCCGAAGUAUUCUCAUUCCUUUGUCCUUCUUCUGAGCUUGUUCUGCUUCUUUCUUUAAAAUAUCUUACAAGAUGAGGUUAUGCAGUGUACAUUAGUUUUGUUCGGAUGAUACAAUUUCUAGUUUAUAGUCUUGGAUUAGUUUCAGCCAUCUUAUGCCUCAUAUUCAGAUCUGACUUUGAUAGCGUUCGGCCAUUUUUAAGAAAACUUCUUACUUCCUGAACAGUUGUGGGCGAUUCAUGUCCUUAACUUUUUCAGGAUCCACUUCAAUUCCUUUCUUGGACCAAACAUGCCUAAUGAACGGAACCUUCUUUAACCAAAACUCACACUUACUAGACUUGGCAUAUAGUUGAUGCUCCGGAAUCUAUCCAAAACAAUGCGCAAAUGCUCCGCAUAUUCUCCUUAUUCUUAUUGUCAAAACCUUUGUUUCAAAGCUUGAUACAUCUUACUGUUCUCAGGAUUCCGUGCAAAUUCAACCUUUUAGAAACUUGUUAAUAUCCAUAUAAUGCUCACGUCCCUUCCUUCUAGUUAAGGAACUUUUUUUUGAAUAGACUUUUGACCCGAUCCUUGGCGUGAAAUUUGAGCCUUCUCAUCCAUAAUUUCCCCUUUACUGUGGAAAAUGAAGAACUCGGGUGAAACCAGUUCCUCCAUAGUUAUGUUAUAAUAUAGCUGUAGAAUUGCAAAGAUAGUGGUGCUUUAACCUUUCAGGUAUUCAUGGGUUUGUCGAACAGGGAGUAUUAUCUGAGUUCUGGAUAACCCAUGGCUGCCACGAUAAUUGUCAUUGGGGCCGAUAAGUAGAUCUAGCAGGUUCCUAGUAGACAACCUUUCAACUCCUGAGGAAUACUUUUAAAUGCUUCAAAAGAAAUGUCCUCUUAUUCCAAGGAUUCCUCCCUUCCAAGGGGUUUGUCUAAAGCUCUUAUCUUUCCUGGGGAUUACUAUGUUCAUGGCAGAGCUAUGAUCUGUAAAAGUACUUGGGAGCAAUUCCUUUUCUCAGACUUAGGGUUCAUAUGUUCGGAAGCAUAUUGUGCCAGAUGAUCAAUUGUACUUAGAUACUUCCGAACAAUCUUGUGUCCCUGCUAAACUUUUUUUUUUUAAAGUUGUUCUAGCUGCACUCUUAUAAUCCUUUUUAGCAGAAACUAGGUACAAAUAAUUGUCUUGAAAUCUUCCCAAGCUAUCUCCUUUCUGACGGAUCGCCUAACCAGAUAGUUGGUCCAUCAUGUGCCUGUGGGACCUUGGAGUUAAUGUCCUGCAAACUCAACCUUUUGAGUUUCCGUACAUCGAAGAAUCACACACGUAUCCACAUAUAAUGUUUGGAUUUACGUGUAAUUCUACAAAAAUUUGUCUUAUGUUCAUAUAGUGAUCAGGGCUGACAUGUGCAGGAAAAUGCCACUCUUAGUAGCUUUAACAAGCAUGAGUAGACUGCGUUAUCUUCCUCCAAACCUGCUCCAGAAAACUCCUGGCAUUCUUUUUAGAGUUGAACAUCAAGGAUAUGAAGUAUCUGGUUUGGAAGAUUCUUCUCGAUAAUAGUUAAUAAUGCUUAUUCCAUCGCAGAACACAAGAUCUGCUAGCUUUCUCCCUGUUAGUGUCUCUGCCAGCAAUACUCUAAAAUUGUACACAUCUCCUCAGAGCUUUUACAUUCUGACAUAAAACUCCCAUCGGUGCCUUAUAUGUUUGUGUCAAAAAUCUUCACAGCCAACAACCCGGUCUUACCUGGAUUAGUUUUCCUCCGUAAACUGAACCAUAGCUUCCUUUCCUAAUCAAAGACUCUGGGAAAUUCUCAGUAACCUGAACUCAAUCCUUGUAGAAAAAUUUUCAGAAGUUCUUACUAGAAAAAAAAAACCAACUGUGAUUACAUUAUGAAGGACUUUCUCCAUGGAAGUAUAAGGCAUCACGAUAAUAUGAAUAGUGCCACGAGACCAACAAUGGGGAUAUAUUUUAACCCAAAACUUUUAAUCUUGCUGUCUGCAAAGGAACAACAUCGCACGCGGGUAUAUGCAGCUCACAUACUCCGUCGCAAAGACCUUGAUUCCCUUUAGUGUAAUAACUGUAACCUUUUUGAAAUACUCGGCACUCUUCCCAGGAGAUGAUUGCGGGACGAAUUUAGCGGACUGAGAGCUUGUAGAUCACAUAGAGCAGCUGGGAUAGUAUCUAUCCAAUUGUUGUGUGAAAGGUUAAGAAUAGUGUCUUCCCAAAAGUUGGUGGUUUUGAUACUGCUUCAAUUCCCAAUAACCACGUUAAUUCCCUAUAUUUUGAAUAUCCCUGCUCAGCAGUCUAGCUUGCUUAGCUCUUGAAUUCAUAAGACUAGCAAUAACAUUAACCCGGGUAAGAAUUUAUGGUGGCUCUACAUCACGGAUUCUGACCCGGAUUAAAUGUAUCCACUUGGGUCCGACAUUCUGGGGUUACAAAAAUCCAACAGACCGAAACUCAUUGAACUUCCUCUGGUUCUUUAAUAUCAUUAUUCCCUGCAUCUCGCAAACCUUGGUAUAUGUUUCUCUUAAACAACCCCCUCAACAUUGUCCUUAGCUAACAGUUGAUUAGGUUCCAUAUGACUUUUUCUAAAUUCUCUUCCAUUUUCCACACCAAGACUAUCCAGAUUCUCACAAACAUGCAGAUCUACUUUUUAAGAUGCCAGUUCAUUUAUACCCAUUUCGUUAUCCACAAUAUCCUCCUUUCCUUUUACUACAACCGGGACGAACAGAUGUUGCCUUGGUUUCCAUGGUUUUUUUGAUAUAUCUCUGAGGCAUCCGGAUCAAUAGAUUCCUGGGCUUGUGUCAAUUGACCUCAUAUUUAUCCAAUUUCUUUCACCACUUUUCUCAUAUCUUUUCCCAUAUUACGAUCUCGUGCAAGAGCUGCCUUCUUGCUUAUAUCGAAAUCAUAUGGAGUAUCUUUUCCCCUCCUCCUUGAAUCUUCAUUCCUUUCUUCCUAAUAAUAUUACUGGAACGGGCAUGUUGAUGAAGAGUAGGUAUCGAAGUCUUUUAAUUUCAUGAAGUGAUCGCAGUAACGUCGUGCUCCAUUUGAGAAAAUCCUUUAAACCUUUAUACAAUGCUUCCAAUACUAUGGUCCUGAUUUCUGAUCCCAUAACUCUUGUCAGACUGGAUCCAAUUUAUUCCUUAUUCUUCUCACACCUGAUAGUUUAAGUUGUCCUAAUUGCUUAUCCAAAUAAGGUUUGGUGUCCAUCCGUCUGUCUUGAUCUUCUCUUCUGCAGUUCUCUGUUGCAUCGACCCCCUUACUACGUUUAGCUCCUAUUACACGGGACGGGUUUAGGUCUAACGGCACUCUCCAAACCCAAAAGUUUUGAAACAUGCAAUGCACACAUGAUGCAACGAUUCCUACGUACUUUCAGACUCAUAUACACACUCGUAGAAAAAUUGGUGGCAUCGUAAUCUCUCCCUAAAUAAUAGACUACCGAAUACUAGCGACACACAGCAAACAGUUAGCAUCUGCAAAAUAAACAACCAGUUAACACUACUGCCACCUGUGACUCACAUUUUCUUAAUUUAAAAUAGAGUCUCAAUUUUUAAAUAGUAAUAUCUGUUGAUUAUCCCAACCUACGGCUCUGAUACCAGCUGUGGCGGAACCGCCCAACUUAAGCUGGUUUAAGUGCACUUAAUCGCUGUCGGAACAGCAAUUAUCCGAAACGCACCUAAAACAGCAUAAGUCCGGUAGUCCGUCGAGUGUCCCUAGGACUCCUCGAAGGAUCCACGACGUGUCUCAUAGCCAUACAUCAGGAUAAUAUCCGCGAUGGGAUAACAUCAACAAAUAUUACAUUUUUAAAGACAUAACAAAGGUACGAUAUAUUACAACCAUAGUUUGAAACAACUUAAUCAUGCAGGUCAGCGUGGUUCUUAAGAAUUUAAAAAUAAACAUUUAAGUUUUAUUCUAGAGUAUCAUGAGACUCAUAAGAUACCCUAGGUCGUCGGGGCUUCCUCUUCGGUGGGUCCCUGCUGGCUUUCUGAAAACAACAACAAGGGAUCCCCUGAGUACGAAGUACUCAGCAAGUCUUACCCGACUAACCAAUAUAAUAGUUUUCUUUGGAAUGUAUGUCAGCCUUUGGGUGUGCUUGGUUGACACAAUUUUUGCCGAAAAGCUUACUACGAGUGAGGCCUUAGUUUUAUCUUUUAUUUUAGUUAAGUCAUUACCUAACCAUUCUAGAUGAUAACAGAAGUAAAAGCAACCACAGCUGUUAAGUCAUACAUUACUUGACAACAGGAGAUUUUAUAUUGCAUGAGUUGAUACUACGAUGCUCAACAGUGAUCAAGUGCAUUCAUAACCGAGAAUUGCGGCGAUCCGGAUCUAAUUACAUCCUGCAGGAGAGUACCCCGAUCACCAGCAUUAUACGACUGUUCCGGUCGUAUCUCACAACCUCUCGAUUAGCAAAGUCAAUGAUUAGGAAUACAACUACCCGGACCCAAGGAUGCACCCCCACAUGGGACCCCACGUCUGGCCUGAUCUCCAUGUGAGUUUCAGGCUACACCCCUGCCAAUCUCCAGCACGUCAAAUGCGGGUACGAAGCAUUCCUGAUCAUAGAAUUUACUAAUCUACUGGGCUUUACUGGUCCCAUACCCAGUAAGUGAUCAGAUGUUAUCACUUGAUCAGCGGUUAAGACACGAAUCGGGCCUUAACCAGAUUAAUCUAGCAGAUAGAACUACAUCUCUAGCUUCUGUCCGUAUUCAUAUUCCAGACUAUCCUUCAUAAGCAACAUGUAUGACUUAAGAGUUUUCCUUAAGGUUGGUAAACCAAUCACGUAAGCAAGUAAGCAAUUCUAGACUUGGGUAGUUUCUAGGAUUUGAACAAGUGGCAAAGAUGUCCUUAAAUCAAGGCAUGAUCAUACACAAGAAUAGGUUUCAUCCAACUCCUAGACUUAGUGCAUACAAUAAACAAAUAACCUAUAACUAGUCACAUGAAAUGACGACUCUAAAAAUAGAUAGGUAUAAAUGCACCGGGGCUUGCCUGGGAUCAACAAGGUUAGUUCUUCGGAAAACUUGUUUACUGAAAGAGGCACUCCACACUUCGCGAAUGCUGUCCAUCUCCGGCUGAAUUCCAUGAAUUUCCCACUUCAGGAGUUGUGACGUCUACGAUCCAGUAUAUGCAAGAGUUAGAGAUGCAAAUUUUUGAAUACAAGACUAUACAACUUUCCUUCAUGAUAAAGUUGCAAGCCAACAAGGACUAUACAAUUUAUCAUGAUAAAGUUGCAAGCCAACACACAAAAGCCCUAAAGAUUAGCCCACCAUUUUUAUUUCUUUUACUAAACCUACCUUAGACCUCUUCUUUUAAUUUUUAAAAGCAUUAUACUAAUUUUCUAAUCUCAAAAACCUAAUUCCUAUGAAUUAAUAAUAAUUUGUGGAUAAUAAAGCAUUUUCAAGUUUUAUAUAUUUAAUAAAGUUUAAGCAUUUAUUUAAAUACCUUACACAAAAAGGCAUUAAAUAAAUACCUAAAUUUUUAUUAUUUUUCCUAGGGUUUAAGAAUUUUAAUGCAUAAAGGAAAAUAAAACAAUCCUAAUAAAAUUGGUUUCACUAAUUUUGGACACUUUUAGAAUUUCCUGGGAAUUAAAUGGUGAAAGCAGCAUUUAAUCUAUUAAUCUAACAAAGAAAACCUAAGGUUUAAUUAAAACCUCCGGCCCAAACUUUUCUCACCCAACUUGCUUCUACCCACUAUCACUUCCACCUAGGGCCCAUCUGGUUUCCUAUUCUCCUUCUUCUUUUCUUCCUUGACAAGUGGGGCCCACGGCCGAAACCUUCCCUUGGGCCGAAAAGUGGCCCGCCAACUUUUAACCCGUGACGCGUGGGCCUCUAUUCGGCAGCCUCCUCUUUGGGCCGGCUCCCCCUUCUCCUCUCUUUCUCAGUCCCGGCCGGCCCAUCUCUUCUUUUUCUUUUUCUAUCUCCGACAAUCGGCCUGCUUAAUCCGGCCCACGGCCUUUCUUUCCUCCGCCGGCCCCCUUCUUCUUUUCCACUUCACCUGGGCUGCACGGCCCACUUUCCUUUCAGGCCAAAAGUUAACCCACCGGCUCUCCCUUCUUCCUUUACCCGCACGGGCUAACUGGGCUGUCGCCUCCCCUUGGCCCAAGACGGCGUUGGCCCUCUUUUCUUUUUCUCCUACUCCCACCUGGGCCUCCUCCACCGGGACUUGGCCUCCCGGCCCAAGUUCACCGACGGCCUGCUUCCCUUCUCUUAUUACGUUGCGCAGCUAGCUGGGCCGGUACCCUUCCUUUGGCCCAAGACGGAUGGCCGGCUCUUAUCUCCCUUGCGCCCCCCCCCUCUUUUCCUUGUGGCUGGCAUGUGGGCCUCCUUUGUCAGGGGCAUCUUCCUCCCCUGGCCAAGAACAGAGGCGCGCCGGACCGGUGGGGGCUCGCCGGCCGGCGGCUCGCCGGCGACGGGGUCGGGCCGGGAAGGGACCCCCAGGCCGCGACACACCCGUGGGCGGCGGCGGCGCUCCGGGAGGUGGCCGGAGAUGGCCCCUCCACGGCGGCGGCGGCUCGGCCGGCCGUUGGCCAUGGCGGCGUAUGUUGGCGGCGCAAACGGCUUCCACAACUCACCCUACGGCUUCCACACUCUUGCAGGACGCCCCUAGGCCCGUUAAUUGAGAAGAAACAGCCGGUUUAGCAGCUUACCUCGCGGAUUGGGUGACGGCGGCCAGCGGACCGGUAUGGCGGCGACUCGGAGCUCAACAGUGAGAAGCUGGGCAACGGAGCAGCGUGGGGCGUUGAGGAGGAGCUUGCGGAACCUCGGGUGGGUGGAAUCGCAAGGAGAAGCGGCGGCGUGGGUGAAUCGGUCGGCGGCGACACUGAUUUGCUUGAACUCGGUUCUCACGGCAGAAGAGCAAAACGGCAGAGGAUUAACUGGAUGAGGGCGAGGAGGUAGCAAUACGAACUUUCACCGUGCAUGCGUGCCACCUCGACAACCUGAACGAGCGCGGACGUGGCCGUGUGCUGGC
rnacentral:lncRNA from 1 species